GUUUUAGAAGCUUAUAUAAAGCAAUUAAUCUUGUAAAUUAAUAGAAAAAGUAAUAAAACCUUUCUAAAACU
rnacentral:tRNA from 1 species